CAAAUUUUAGUUUAAUUUAAAGAACCUUCCACUUACACUGGAAUAGUGGCUGUGUAAAUCAGCUUGAUUUGA
rnacentral:tRNA from 1 species